AUAUUUUUAUAUUUCAGAUGAUCCAAAUCUAGGUUAAAAAUGUCUGUAUCUAGUCCGGAGAAGACGAAGGUUUAUAAGAAGAAAAGAAGUUCCAAACAGAGUCUGUUUUCAGAAGCUAAACUGGAAAGGGUGAGUAAAAAACUGAAGCUUGACUUUGCUUCCGACACUGAAGAUACAGAUAUCGAUGACUUCGAACCCUUACCACCAUUAAACCUCGAGAAGAUCUAUAUUAAAGGAACACACUCCAAGAAGGAAAAAUCUGAAGAGGAGAAAAAGUUGUACCAGGAAGAAAAAUUGAAGAAAGAAGAGGAAUUGAAGCUCGAGGAGAAUGAGUUGAAUAUAAAGCUGGAGAAAUACCGAGGGACGGGAGUAGGUUCGCUGAGUGAGGAGGAGUGGUUGAAGAUGACCGAACUUGGAGAUAGGUUGGAUGAGAUCUAUAGGAUACGGUAUAUUGAGGCGGAGUUCGGAGAUGGUUUCCUGGAACAGGAGGUGGAGGAGGAGGGGGAACUAGAAUUCCUUGGUUGCUGUGAUAGAGAGUUUAAGCGAUCAGAUAUAUCAGACGAUGAAGCAGUUCGUGAGUAUUCUGUAGUUGUAUCUGAGGAGAUCUGGGAGGAUGGUGAUGAUGAUGAUACUAGACCUACCGAAGAUGUGUCACUCAACAAUAUUGCUGAACCUAAAGUUGAAGAGAAUAGAACAGUUGCCCCAGCUCCUGUCUAUGCUAACUUUUCAGUAUCAGUUAAAUUGGAUAAAGUUUUAGAAGAUUUAUCUGACAGCGAUGAUGAAGAUUCAGCUGUAAUAGAGAAAUCUGAGAACCUAGAUCAGAAUGAAACCAUGAAUAAAUCUGAUGAGUUAAGCCCAGUAUCUAGUCCCUUAUCCCUUCAAGAUAAGAACUGUAACACUACGAACAAAGACGAGAUUGAUAUGAGUAUGUGGGAUCCGUACGAAAAUUCGAGCAUUGGGUACUUUCUCGUUGCUCAUUACUUAGCUUGCAGUAGGUGGGCUAAGAUCAACCGACUGGAUUUAAACUUCACAGGAAUUGUUAUGUCAGUUGAGACCAGUUGUCUGUUUGGUCGGGAUAUGCUGAAAGAAAAUCCUCUCCUGGAUCCUAAACACUCCAGUUGUGUUCUAAAUCCUUGGAAGAUUCGAAACCACAAAAAUGCUUUAGCUCAUUCUACUGCUGGAUUGGAAAUGGAUCUAGAAGGACGGAAAAUGAUCACUGCUCCAGUUUGUGUUAAUUUCUGGACAUUUCUUACCGCGGAUGAUGGACUAGAAGAUGUCCCACUGGAGUUUGGAGAUGGUUGGAUUGAACUAGUUGACGUGUUCAUGCAAACAAUCAAUCCAGAGACAUAUGCACCACCGUCCGUUAUACACAGGAUAAUGAUUGAAGGGUUGAGAGACUAUCCUGAACCGUUUGUGAGAUAUAUUGUUUACUCAGCUCUCGACCACACCUAUAAAUGUCUCAGUCCUGGACCAUCUGAUCUGUUCGGGAGUAAUUACUACCUGGAAAUGAUGAAUCCUGCUAAACCAGGGAAAAUGAAACCUGGAAUACAAGAUGAGAAUACUCCUUGGACCUUUCUCAACGAGCUCACAGAGCUUUGUGUAAAUUUUAUUCCUGAUAGCAGUAAAUCUUAUACGAGGAAGAUUUCCGACGAAGUAGAUGAGGAGAUAAUACCUGAUCCUAUCUGGGAUACUCCAGGGCCUUUUCUCCUACUGGAGUUCUGGACCUGUAUCCUGGACCGGGACCUCAAGGAUUGGUUUGAUCUCUACUGUAGACAGGAACAGAUAUAUUUUAGAGGAGUAGAACGUCCUUUAAUAGCUCGAGUCUUCUUCUUUACCGGAGAAGUUCGUUGGAACCGGAGAUGUGAGAGUUUUUGUAAACUUUAUGUUGCAGGGCUGGGUAGACCAGCGGAAAUGUAUGCUAGGACUUGUAUCAGGAAGCUCGUUGGUUUACUUGCUCAGACUCUAUGUCUAGCAGAGAAGAUGAAGAUUGAAAGGAUUAGUCCAGAAUCUGAGCUAAACCUUUACAAAAACCAGAUGGCAAGAUGUAUUGCUAACAAUCUCUUUGAAGAGAAAAUCUCUGACAAUGAACUGGUGAGAAAAGAACUGUUUCUCCUUGAACCCUCUUGGUUAAGUUCCGCUGUAUCAACCAUCUAUCUGGGACGGUUAACCGGAGCUCACUUUAACCUCUUUCCAACCUUGACAGAUGUCAUGAACAAUUUUGUCACUGUUGGGAUACAAGAAGAGGAUAAUAAUGAGGAAGAUGAGGAAGAAAUUAGUUCUCCUGUUACUGAACCGAUAACUAGGAUAACUCCAAUCAAAGAAAACAUAGAACCAAACUCGCCUAACGUCAAGGCAAGAUCUAAAUCAGCAUUGAAACCCCGGAACACACCCAACAACAGUUCUCCAACGCCGUCCAAACCUCCUCAGAAGAUAAAUCUAAAUUACAAAAACCAGUACGGAGAGAGACAUAUACAUCUUGCAUGCAAGAAGAAUGAUGUACAGAAACUACGCUUAGUUCUUAAUACACCAGGUGUUGAUGUUAAUGUACCUGAUAAUGGCGGUAACACUGCUUUGCACGAAGCAGUUAACAGCGACAGCAUCGAGGCAGUAAAGUUGCUUUUAAACUUUGUUCCUCAUGUAACCUUGGACAAAUUUUUCAGUAUAACUCCUAAGAAAGGAUCACAAAGUGUUGGGAAGAAGAACAACUACGCAGAUCUUCUUGCUCUGGAUCAACACAAAGAAAGUCCUAUUAUCUAUGCUGUUCAAUUGGAUAGAGUUGAGAUCCUAAAAUACAUUCUAGAAUUCCUACAGGAGCAAGAGAAGAAGAAAUCAUCUAAAUUCCCUAAACUAUCCAAGGUUUUUGAGAUCAGCUCCGAAUCCCCAUCUAGUCUUUUAAGCAAAGCAACGAGUGAGCCUAUGAAGGAUUUAUUGGAUAAGUAUUACAAUAUUGUCAAAUCCUCUGGUGUUUCAAUCAUGAAAAUCCAUCCAACUGAGCCAAUACCACUAGCUCUAGUCAAAUCUGAGCGGUAUCAAAUACUCUUGAAAAACUCACUCCACAGAUAUUUUGGAGCACAAAACAUGUACCUAUGUUAUCGACUGUGGAAGACUGGAUACAAGUAUGAAGAGUUCAAACCGGAGAGGAUUCAGCAGCUUCUAGCAGAGGAGAAGGAGGUAGUUGUACAUGAGGAUCUGAAACGGUUUGAACCCAUCGACUACAAAGAUUCUUUUGUAAGAUUUCCUUUCGGGAACCCUCCAAGGUUUGAUGUGUUUAGGCCGCAUUCUACCAAAGCUGAUGAUCUCAAGAUUCUGGAGAACUUGAAGUACCACGAGCAAAAGUUACCAAAUCUAGUUGAUCCGAGGAAUCCUAUCUUAUCAUUUAGAGACAUGCAUCUCUAGAUCUUUGUCAUUCACACGAUCUUCCCUCAUUCACAUGAGAUUACGAAAUACAGGCUCAACAUAUUUAGCGACAAUUGCAAUAGUUACAAAUCUUAACGUUCUAUAAAUGUAAUGUUCAAUCAGCAUUUUCAGUGCAUAAUAAUGCUAUAACUUGACCAGAUCGUGUCAUCCCUUUCGGGUAACUCCGUAUUUUUAAAAGAUGUUGAAGCUAUAACUGUUAAUUUGAAUGUUCAUAAAGAAACCCCUAACGAGCUUACUAUGUACAUACUCUUUGAAGUUGUUUUUUUGCGAAAUCACUUUGUACUUCCAAAGAUUUUUUUAAAUAAAAAAAUAUUUCUUUAUGUAA
rnacentral:misc_RNA from 1 species